GAAGGUAUAGCUCAGUGGUAGAGUGUGUGCUUAGCAUGCAUGAGGUUCUGGGUUCAAUUUCCAAUACCUCCG
rnacentral:tRNA from 1 species